rnacentral:lncRNA from 1 species
GCAGGGGGACAGCGGGGACACCAACGACAGCAGGGACAGAGGGACAUUGGGGACACAGGGACAUUGAGGACAGAAGGACAUUGGGGACAUUGGGGACAGAGGGACAUUUGGGACAUUGGGGACAUUGAGGACAGAAGGACAUUGGGGACACUGGGGACAGAAGGACAUUGGGGACACUGGGGUCACAGCGGGGUCCCGAGCAGUGUCCCCAUCCCCGUGUCCCAGUGAGGGCCGGGGCCACCGCGGAUCCCAAAGGGCUCCAGGACCCCAAAGGAUCCCAAAGGUCCCAGAGACCCCAAAGUGUCCCACAGACCCCCAAAAGGCUCCACAGACCCCAAAGGGCUCCAGGACCCCAAAGGUCCCAGAGACCCCAAAGGGUCCCACAGACCCCAAAGUGUCCCAGAGACCCCAAAGGUCCCAGAGACCCCAAAAGGCUCCACAGACCCCAAAGGGCUCCACAGACCCCAAAGGAUCCCAAAGAUCCCACAGACCCCAAAGAUCCCACAGACCCCAAAGUGUCCCACAGACCCCAAAGGUCCCCCAGACCCCAAAAGGCUCCACAGACCCCCAAAAGGCUCCAGAGACCCUCAGUUUCUAUCGACCCCAAAAGGAUUUUAUGGCCCCUGAAGGGUUUUAGGGACCCCAAAAGUUCCCACAGCCCCCAAGGUUUUAUUGACCCCAAAAGAUCCCACGGACCCCUACGGGUUCUGCAGACCCCAAAAGGAUUUUAUGAACCCCAAAAAGGAUUUUAUAAAACCCAAAAAGGAUUUUAUGGACCCCAAAAAGGAUUUUAUGAACCCCAAAAAGGAUUUUAUGGAUCCCAAAAAUUUCUGGAGACCCCAAAGAUUUCCAGGGAUGGAUUUUGCAGCCCCAAAGGUCAAAGGUCAGCGGGGUUUUAUGGCUUUGGGGUUUUAUGGCUUUGGGGUUUAAUUGCUUUAGGGUUUAAUUCCUUUAGGGUUUUAUGGCUUUAGGGUUUAAUUGCUUUAGGGUUUAAUUGCUUUGGGGUUUAAUUGCUUUGGGGUUUAAUUGCUUUGGGGUUUUAUGGCUUUGGGGUUUAAUUGCUUUGGGGUUUAAUUGCUUUGGGGUUUAAUUGCUUUGGGGUUUAAUUCCUUUAGGGUUUAAUUGCUUUGGGGUUUAAUUGCUUUGGGGUUUAAUUGCUUUGGGGUUUAAUUGCUUUGGGGUUUUAUGUCUUUGGGGUUUUCUGGCCCCGGGGUUUUAUGGCCCCGGGUUUACACCCCGAUGUGUGAAAGUGCCUCCUGCCAUAAAGAUCUGGGAACUUUUAUGGGUUCGGCGCCUUCCUGGGGCAGCGAGGGCGGGGUGGGAUUGGGGCUGUGCCGGGAGCCCCCGACCCCAAAGCCACGGGACCCCUGACCCUAAAUAAAUAACCCCUGACCCCAUGGGAACCCA